rnacentral:rRNA from 1 species
CAGUCGCCGCGGUAAUACGAAGGGGGCUAGCGUUGUUCGGAUUUACUGGGCGUAAAGCGCACGUAGGCGGAUCGAUCAGUCAGGGGUGAAAUCCCAGAGCUCAACUCUGGAACUGCCUUUGAUACUGUCGAUCUGGAGUAUGGAAGAGAUGAGUGGAAUUCCGAGUGUAGAGGUGAAAUUCGUAGAUAUUCGGAGGAACACCAGUGGCGAAGGCGGCUCACUGGUCCAUUACUGACGCUGAGGUGCGAAAGCGUGGGGAGCAAACAGGAUUAGAUACCCCCGUAGUCCCUGUCUCUUAUAC